rnacentral:rRNA from 1 species
AGUAAUGUCUGGGAAACUGCCUGAUGGAGGGGGAUAACUACUGGAGACGGUAGCUAAUACCGCAUAACGUCGCAAGACCAAAGAGGGGGACCUUAGGGCCUCUUGCCAUCGGAUGUGCCCAGAUGGGAUUAGCUAGUAGGUGGGGUAAUGGCUCACCUAGGCGACGAUCCCUAGCUGGUCUGAGAGGAUGACCAGCCACACUGGAACUGAGACACGGUCCAG